rnacentral:lncRNA from 10 species
AGCUUGUGAGUGAAGUCUGUCACCCUGUGUGUCUGUCAUGAUGUACCUGGGUCACUGCAAAUGUCUGUUACCCCAUCGUUUGUUGAGGUGAAUCUAUGUCACUCACUCUGUGUGCAUGUCGUAGUGUAGCUGUGCCAUAGUGUGGGUGUCAUUGUGCCCAGACCAUGAAAUGAGACUGUCACUGAACAUCUGAGACUCACUAUGUGAUAUUGGUUGAAUUAUGUCCCCCAAAAUUCAAUAUGUUGACAUCCUAAUCCCCAGCACUUCCAGAAUAUGACCUUAUUUGGAAAUAGGGUCGUUGCAGAUGCUAUUAAGAUAAGGCCAGACUGGUAUAGGGUGGGCCCGUAAUCCAAUAUACAUGACUGGUGUCCUUAUGAAAAGGUGAAAUUGACUGGGCG